AGAGUUUGAUCCUGGCUCAGGAUAAACGCUGGCGGCGUGCCUAACACAUGCAAGUCGAACGCUCUGUUUCGGCAGAGAGUGGCGGACGGGUGAGUAACACGUGGGUCAUCUACCUUUCGGUGAGGGAUACCGGCGAGAAAUCGCCGACAAGCCCGCAUGAGCUUCCUUUCGGGGAAGGAAAAUCGCGAGAUGCCGGGAGA
rnacentral:rRNA from 1 species